rnacentral:lncRNA from 1 species
GCUUAAGGAGUGGUCGAGACUGAGGCGGGGUGGGAGGUUCAGGUUCCCGGGGCGCCUUCCCCAACCCGCCCCGCUUUCCCCGUCCCUCCACGCGCACCCUGCCUGUGGUUUCCGUGCGCCCCCGGCCUGAGGGCUCUGGGCGGCACCUUAACCCGGAGGGCCUGGAGGUCUGCACCCGACCGCCUUGUGCCAGGACGGUCAGGUCCACGCCCUCCCCCACCGUGGCUCCCUCCAUCUGCAGUAUCCCCCACCUCCAGCCCGUCCUGCCCUCCUGUUCUCCGUCUCGCUUCCCGUCGGUGCCUCCGGGAUCUCACAGCCCUCGCACCUCUUUUGUGACCCAGGCUGUUUUUCUGCACCCCCCUCUCCCCUGAGGGCACUGAGAUUGGGCCAUUGGCCUGAAGGUCUCUGGGAGCAGCACCCUUCCAGGGGAGGUGGGACGUCGAGAACUUCUCCCUAAGAGAUGCGGGGAAAUGGUGGGGCCUGAGAGUGCAAACACUGCAGAAAUGCGAAAAAUGUAGUGUUAACGGAAGAGUUUAGGUCCUGCCUCACUGUCCGGGAAACGCGUGCCCUCGGGGGAGCCUUUGCCAAGCCGGUUUUUCCCGAAGGUGACCAGAUGCUCCUGGGCCACUGCCUCUGAGACCUCAGGGAACGGAGAUUUUUGUGGACCCAGCUGCCUGGAGCUGCUUUCCUGUUCCGGCCGGAGGAGAUGAGGAAGCCGACUUGGAGAGAACCCUGGAUGUGUCCACAGUCACUCCUCCGCCCAGUGGAGCGAUCCAGGCAGAAAUCGGGGCCCUGAGUCUGAAUCCGGGUUCUGCAACCAGGGCAGAUGCGGGCUUGCCUCUGCUCCCUGUCCCUGGUCUGAGAGCCCAUUCUUCCCAGAUGGUCACUUGGCAAAUCACAGCCUGGCAUGGAUUGUUCUGCCCUCCUUCUGCUGCCUCCCUCCUUCCCCUUGUCAAGGCUGCAAGACCAGGAUCUAGGAACGAUCCUGGAGCCCUGCAAACUAGGCCUUGGAAAUCCCUGCUGGAUUUCCACCUCCCGGGCUGGGAGCCCCUCGGUCAUCUGUUGCUGUGUAAGGAGCCACCAGGAUUUUAGCGGUCUGAACAACGAUGUAUUAUUUCUCAGGAUUCUGUGACUUGAUGGGUGGGCCCUCUGCUGCUCUGGGUGUGGCUGCAUACACCCCGGGGGUCAACAGGGACGAGCGGUACAGCGGCUGGGUUGCUCUCUACCCGGUCUUCGUCCAAGCCCCUCCACAGCUGGUAAGAUCUCCGGAGCAGGACCUGCAAGCCCUCUUCAGAUCACCCCAGAACUUCCUGUCUAAAAACUGAAGCCUCUCACUGCCCAGGCAUGGCUUCUUGCUACCCUGCCCUCAGGCACAGUCCUGCACCCACCUGCGUCUGCUGUGCCAUGUCCAGGCCAGUCCCCCCCCACCACCAACACCUCUCUCUAUCUUCAUCCUCUUCCCAAUCUGGUCCUCCCACCGCUGUGGAAACCCCGUCUGCCCCCAAAGCCUAGCUUAAAAAUAAUUCCCUAGGGACCUGUGUCUCUCCCUGCCUCGGCCCCUCCUUCAUUCCUGGGUGCCUCCGGCUGUGCAGCAUUUGACACUGCAGCACCCCCCUUAAUUCGGAAGCAUGCUGUCUCCUGGACUGGUGAGUCUCCACACUAUCUGAGCCGUCUUCUCUGGAACUCUUGGCCUCUCAGUCCGUUCUGAGAAUACAGCCUUGGUAAGCACGGUGCCCACAUGAAUGUUUCCAGCAGCAGGAUUCAAAAUAGCCACAUGUCCAUCAACAGAUGAGUGGAUAAACAAAACAUGGUCCAGAAUAAUGGAAGAUUACUCAGCCCUAAAAAGAGACGAAGCUGGUGAACCUCGAGAACACGAGGCCGCGUGAACGAAGCCAGACACCGAGGACCACGUAGCGUGAGACUCUCAGUCUAUGAAAUGUGCGGAGUCGAUAAAUUCACAGAGACAGAAAGGAGAUUCACGGUUGCCAGGGGCUGGGGAGUGACAACAGAGGGAUGGGGGUGACUGUGAAAGGGUACGUGGUUUCUUUCCCAGAGGAUAAGAACGUUCUAACAUGGCCUGUCCUGUUGGCUUCACAGCUCUGUACAACACACAAAAAAACCAUUGAAAUGUACACUUUGUGGAAUGUGAACUGUAUCUUGAUAAAGCAGUUAGAAGACCUUCGAACAUAAGCAUGCGGCCUCAUGGGGCCUUUGCCUGGGCACCCUGGCACCUCUCCCAGGCUCUACCUAUCUCCGACUUCAUUCCUGAGCUCUUGAACAGGGAUUUGACUGCUCUGGAGACCUCCUGUAAGUGGAAUCCUACAGCAU